ACAGAGAAAGAUUCUCACAUUGGCGACGAGAACGGUGAACAGUGCAUGUGAAAUUAGUUUAAUUUCGGUUCGGGAAGUGUUGUCUUUGGAAAAAGAAUGAGAUGAGUGGUGUGUGUGUGUGUGUGUGUGUGUGUGGUGCAUGCAGAGUGGUGAUGACCUCCAGGUGAUGACUUGUGAAUGAAUUUCAACAUUGAAAUCAAAAAGGUACAACCACAAGUAACGGCCAAGUAAUUUACCAAAAUGCCGAGCAGAGAUGGAUGACCAAAUGGAUGACUGUACUUCUAAUUCUGAUGUGAGACUGAAGCGAGACGUUCAUAAACUGAGGAGACUAUAAGCGAAACAACGUGGAGUGACCUUGCUGCGGAUCUGGAGAAAAAACGAGAUGUGGUACCUUGUGGUAUGCACAUAAAUUAUUGUAUUACUCUAUUACGUUUAGCGUGUAUGUUUACAUUGAGUAUCUGUCAUAUGCGGAGAUAUUGUUAUUGUUGUCUGGAGUGUGAAUCAUUGUAUGUAAUAUUGAAGUAUCGGUAAUAAAGUGUAUACAAAUAAUGAA